AUGCGCAGCGGCUCGCUCGGAAGCUGCGACGCAGUUUCACUCCGGCUGCCUUCUCCUGAGAGACGGAGCAACAGCCAGACCCCUGCCCAGGCCUAGCCGGAGCUGCAGCCCGAGCGCGGUGGUGCCCUCAGCCCCGUCCUCUUGUCCUCCUCAGCCUCGUUGGCAAAGGUGCCUUGGAAUUUGUGUCGCUGAGUCAGCAAGCCUUUCAGAUUUGCCCGGUUUUUGUUGUUUGUGGUUUGUAUCAAGAUGGGAACUCAAACAAGUCAUUCCUCCUAAGGAGCUGGUGUCUUCAUCCAGAAGGGACAGUUUGUGCCAGCUCUCCAGAGAGAAAAGAUCUGCCGGAGGUGCUGGGCAAUGAUCCCAGGACUCCAGGCCAGAGGGGUCUGAAGCUGUUUGGGAAAGCAGCGGGACUCCUUGGGAAGAUGGCCAUGGCCCCAAGCCCUUCCCUGGUGCAGGUGUACACCAGCCCCGUGGCUGUGGCCAUGUGGGAAUGGCAGGACGGGCUGGGCACCUGGCACCCCUACAGUGCCACCGUCUGCAGCUUCAUCGAGCAGCAGUUUGUCCAGCAGAAGGGCCAACGUUUUGGGCUUGGGAGCAUGGCCCACAGCAUCCCCUUGGGCCAGGCAGACCCCUCGCUGGCCCCUUACAUUAUUGACCUCCCCAGCUGGACCCAGUUCCGCCAGGACACCGGCACCAUGUGGGCUGUGUGGAGACACCUGUUCCCCCAGCACUCAGCCCCUGGCCGAGGUGUCGUCUGGGAGUGGCUGAGCAACGAUGGCUCCUGGACCGCCUAUGAAGCCAGCGUCGGUGACUAUCUGGAGCAGCAGGUGGCCAGGGGCAACCAGCUCGUGGACUUGGCCCCCCUGGGGUACAACUACACUGUCAACUACACCACCCACACGCAGACCAACAAGACUUCCAGCUUCUGCCGCAGCGUGCGGCGCCAAGCAGGGCCGCCUUACCCGGUGACCACCAUCAUCGCUCCGCCGGGCCACACAGGCGUUGCCUGCUCUUGCCACCAGUUCCUCAGUGGCAGCAGAACUGGCCCCGUGUCAGGCCGCUACCGCCACUCCAUGACCAACCUCCCUGCAUACCUCGCCCCCCAGUAUCCCCCACACAGGACCGCUUUUGUGUUUGGGACUCACCAGGCCUUUGCACCGUACAACAAACCCUCACUCUCCGGGGCCCGGUCUGCGCCCAGGCUGAACACCACCAACCCCUGGGGCGCAGCUCCUCCUUCCCUGGGGAGCCAGCCCCUCUACCGCUCCAGCCUCUCCCACCUGGGACCGCAGCAUCUGCCCCCAGGAUCCUCCACCUCCGGUGCAGUCAGUGCCUCCCUCCCCAGCGGUCCCUCGAGCAGCCCGGGGAGCGUCCCUGCCACUGUGCCCGUGCAGAUGCCAAAGCCCAGCAGAGUCCAGCAGGCGCUCGCAGGAGCGACCCCGAAGCCAGAGCCAGAGCCAGAGCAGGUCAUAAAAAACUACACAGAAGAGCUGAAAGUGCCCCCAGAUGAGGACUGCAUCAUCUGCAUGGAGAAGCUGUCCACAGCAUCUGGAUACAGCGAUGUGACUGACAGCAAGGCAAUCGGGCCCCUGGCUGUGGGCCGCCUCACCAAGUGCAGCCACGCCUUCCACCUGCUGUGCCUCCUGGCCAUGUACUGCAACGGCAAUAAGGAUGGAAGUCUGCAGUGUCCCUCCUGCAAAACCAUCUAUGGAGAGAAGAUGGGGACCCAGCCCCAGGGAAAGAUGGAGGUAUUACGGUUCCAGAUGUCGCUCCCCAGCCACGAGGACUGCGGGACCAUCCUCAUAGUUUACAGCAUUCCCCAUGGCAUCCAGGCGAGGGGCCUUCUUGAGUCUCCCACUCCUGGCCACUCCUCUUCCCACCCCGCCCACGUCCCAGCAGUCUGCCCCUGGAUCAAGGCUGAGGAUGCCCAUGUGGCCAAGCUCAGGCCCCCAGGUCCCCUAAGGCCAGGGCCAUGGAGGGCCAGGAAUGGGGAGGCAGUGCCGGGGCUUAGGGGCCCUGAGCACCCCAGUCCCGGAAAGCCGUUCACUGCCAGAGGGUUUCCCCGCCAGUGCUACCUUCCAGACAACGCCCAGGGCCGCAAGCUGCUGACCGAUGGCCACUACAUGACGCUGCCCCUGUCUCUGGACCAGCUGCCCUGUGAUGACCCAUGGCGGGCAGCGGAGGCGCCCCCGUGCUGCAGUACAGAACCUGCUAAGGCCAUCAAACCUAUUGAUCGGAAGUCAGUCCAUCAGAUUUGCUCUGGGCCAGUGGUACUGAGUCUAAGCACUGCAGUGAAGGAGUUAGUAGAAAACAGUCUGGAUGCUGGUGCCACUAAUAUUGAUCUAAAGCUUAAGGACUAUGGAGUGGAUCUCAUUGAAGUUUCAGACAGUGGAUGUGGGGUAGAAGAAGAAAACUUGGAAGGCUUAACUCUGAAACAUCACACAUGUAAGAUUCAAGAGUUUGCCGACCUAACUGAGGUUGAAACUUUCGGCUUUCAGGGGGAAGCUCUGAGCUCACUGUGUGCACUGAGCGAUGUCACCAUUUCUACCUGCCACGCAUCGGCGAAGGUUGGGACUCGACUGGUGUUUGAUCACGAUAGGAAAAUCAUCCAGAAAACCCCCUUCCCCCACAGAGGGACCACAGUCAGCGUGAAGCAGUUAUUUUCUACACUACCUGUGCGCCAUAAGGAAUUUCAAAGGAAUAUUAAGAAGACGUGCCUGCUUCCCCUUCGCCUUCUGCCGUGAUUGUCAGUUUCCUGAGGCCUCCCCAGCCAUGCUUCCUUUACAGCCAGCAGAACUGACGCUGUGCGGAGCUGCAAGUCCGUAUCACUGAGGCUGUGGCCACAGCCACUGAGCAGAGAGAGAUGAUCACCCGCCUGGAGCAGCACCUGAGCAUCAUUCAGUCCAUCCAGCGGCCCGAUGCUGAGGGUGCCGCUGAGCACCGCCUGGAGAAGAUCCCAGAGCCCAUCAAAGAGGCCACUGCCCUAUUCUACGGACCUGCAGCACCAGCCAGCGGUGCCCUCCCAGAGGGCCAGGUGGAUUCACUGCUUUCCAUCAUCUCCAGCCAGAGGGAGCACUUCCGUGCCCGGAACCAGGAGCUUGAGGCCGAGAACCACCUGGCCCAGCACACCCUCCAGGCCCUGCAGAGUGAGCUGGACAGCCUGCGCGCCGACAACAUCAAGCUAUUUGAGAAGAUCAAGUUCCUGCAGAGCUACCCUGGCCGGGGCAGCGGCAGUGAUGACACGGAGCUGCGGUACUCGUCCCAGUACGAGGAGCGCCUGGACCCCUUCUCCUCCUUCAGCAAGAGUGGCAGAGGAAGUACCUGAGCUUGAGUCCCUGGGACAAGGCCACCCUCAGCAUGGGGCGUCUGGUUCUCUCCAACAAGAUGGCGUGCACCAUCGGCUUCUUCUACACACUGUUCCUGCACUGCCUGGUCUUCCUGGUGCUCUACAAGCUGGCAUGGAGCAAGAGCAUGGAGAGGGACUGUGCCACCUUCUGCGCCAAGAAGUUCGCUGACCACCUGCACAAGUUCCACGAGAAUGACAACGGGGCUGCGGCUGGUGACUUGUGGCAGUGAUACCCCGGGGCCUCCCCCGUGACAGUGACGGCUGCGCCUCCACCCCGACUGCUCAGUGCAUCUAAUCAGACUCCCCUGAAGAAUUCCCCCAUGGAAACUGCCCUUAUCCGCUGUCCAGCAGCUGCCAGAGGCCCCAGGUCACCUCGGGUCCCCUUGAAAAAAUGUCUCGGUCACAUCAGGCCCGCUAGGUCCAGACAGCGAGCCCCCAAUGCCCGGCCAGGCUAAGCCGCAGAGACCCUCUCAGCCCCCACCUCAGGUUAGGGCUCUGCCCGCAGCCUGACCUCUAGCCCUGGUGGCAGAGGUCCCUCAGCUGCGAGGCUGAUUGGGUGACCACCGAUUCCAGCUGCGGUUAAUCCAGCUUGGGCCUGUCUGCACUGCGAUCCUCUUGGGCUCUCCUAGGAUCCCCCCAUGCCCCGUAAGAGGUGGAAGACGCUUCCUUCCAGGACAGCAGGCUUUGAGUCCAGCACCCCCAGCCUGCCUUUGCCACCGGCCCCACCCUGCAGAGUAUAUGAGGCUUGACAGAGUCUGCCCCCUCCCCCACUGCACCCCAAGAGAGAGAGCCCUAGCCAGCGGAACAGUUUCUAUUACCCCCUCCCUGCCCCCAGACCCAUGUGAUUUCUGCUUUCUUCUUUAGCAAGAUAUUCUGGUUUCUAGAUAAGGAAGAGUCUCUAAUGAGCCCCCGAGCCCCAGUCUCUUCAGACUCAUGGAUUGGUCUGAGGGGUCUGAACGUCUCCUAGCCAAUCAGAACUGGCUGUGGACCACCCUAGCACGGCCACCUCUCAGGGCCACUGGCAGGCCUUCCUGAGUUAGAUUUGUAGUUGCAUAUUUAGCUUUGCACAUUUGAAAUAAACCACGGUUGCAGCCA